UUAUGCAACCAUCGAGUACAUACACUUAAUUUUGUACGAUCAUUUGCGAAUAGUGAACGUUUUGAUCGUUUUUACUAGCUAGUUAAUCUGCGAUUACAUAGCAUUCAAAGAAAACCUUGUAUUGUAGUAUUUUUACUACAACUCUGAACAAAGAUGGCAACUACUCUUGCAAACAGACUUGAAAACCAGAUCCAGGAAAAUCUGCCCGCCAAGCAUGGUGCUAUCAUCAAGAAAAGAACUGCAAUCCCUACUACCAGGCCUGCUCUGGAAACCAUUGACAACAAGAAAGUACUAACAUCCAAAGCUGUUGGGGAUGCCAAGCAAAAGAUGCAACUCCAGAAACCAACAAACAGCCGCAAUGCACUGAAAGCAAGCAACAUCCCAAUGAAGCCGCGCACAAGUCUUCAAAAAGUGUGCAGAACAAACUACUCUUAAAGUAAACACACAAAGUCUCUCUCAAGCCAAGCGUUGCAACCUC